GGGCUUCAUUUCCAAAAUAUACAAGCAGCUCAUGCAGCUCAACAAAAUAACAACAAAAACUCCAAACAACCUAAUUGAAAAAUAAGCAGAAGACCUAAAUAGACAUUUCCCCAAGGAAGAGAUACAGAUUGACAAUAGGCACAUAAAAAGAAUGGUCAACAUCACUAAUUAUUAGAGAAUACAAAUAAAUAAAAAAACUAAAACAAGGUUGUUGAAUGUCAGAAUGGCCAUCAUGAAAAAAUGUACAAAUAGCAAAUACUGUAGAGGAUGUGGAGAAAAGAGAACCUUCCUACAUUGUUGGUGGGAAUAUAAGUUGGUAUAGUCACUAUGGAAAACAGUAUGAAGGUUCCUCAUAUACAGUUACUAUAUGAUCCAUCAAUCCCACUCCCGGGCAUAUAUCCAGACAAAACUAUAAUUCAAAAAGAUACAUGGUCCUCUAUGUUCAUAGCAGCACUAUUCACAAUAGCUGAGACAAGGAAGCAAUCUAAAUGUCCAUCUACAGAUGAAUGAAUACAGAAAAUAUAGUACGUAUACCAAAUAGAAUACUGCUCAGCCAUAAAAAAGAAUGAAAUAAUGCCAUCUGCAGCAUCAUGGAUGCAACUAGAGAUUCUCAUACUAAGUGAAGUAAGUCAAAAAGAGAAAGACAAAUACCAUAUGAUAUCACUUAUAUGUGGGACCUAAAGUAUGACGCAAAUGAACCUAUUUACAAAACAGAAACAGACCCAUGGACAAGAACAGACUCCUGGUUGUCAAGGGGGCGGGGUUUGGGAAUGGGAGGUGGGGCUUAGCAGUGUAAGCAGAUGUAUUAUAUAUGGAGGGGAUAGACGAGGUGCUACUGUAUAGUACAGAGAGCUAUAUCCAAAGUCCUGUGGUAAACUGUAAUGGAAAAGAAUAUUUAAAAAGAAUGUAUAUAUGUAAAUGGAAUCACUUUGCUGUACAGCGGAAAUUAACCCAACAUCGUAAAUCAACUAUUCUUCAAUUUUUUAAAAUACAUUUUGUAAAGCUAUAGCUGCCAUAGGUAGUGAUUCCUCUGAUGAAUCUGGGAAAAAUUGCAAACCUUCUGGAAAGGAUUUACCAUUCUAGAUGCCAUGAAGAACAUUCGUGGUUCAUGGGAGGAGGUCAACACAUCAACAUCUACAGCAGUUGGAGAGAAGUUUAUCCCACCCUCAUGGAUGACCCUUUGAGGGGCUCAAACCUUCAGUGGAGAAAGGAACUUCAGAUAUGUGGUGGAAGAAGCAAAAGAGCUAGAAUUUGAAGCCCAAAGAUGUGACUGAAUAGCUGCCAUCUGAUGAUAAAACUUGAACAAAUGAAGGAGUUCCCAUCAUGGCUCAGCAGAAAUGAAUCUUAUUAGGAUCCCUGAGGACGAAGGUUUGAUCCCUGACCUCGUUCAGUGGGUUAAGGAUCCGGUGUUGCCAUGAGCUGUGGUGUAGGUCAAAGACGAGGCUCAGAUCCUGCAUUGCUGUGGCUGUGGUGAAGGCCGGCAGCUAUAGCUUUGAUUCAACCCCUAGCCUGGGAACCUCCAAACUUGAACAAAUGAGGAGCUGCUGCUUAUGCAUCUUAUGAGGAACAAAGAAGUGUUUUCUUGAGAAGGAAAGUGCUUCUGGUGAAGAUGCUGUGAAGAUUGUUGAAGUAACAAUAAAGGAUUUAUAUUAUUACCUAAACUUCAUGGAUAAAGCAGUGGCAGGGUGUGAGAGGACUGACUCCAAUUUUAAAACAAGUCCUGCUGCGUGCUACAGAGAAGUCGUUUAUGAAAGGGUCAAUCUGUGUGGCAGACUUUGCUGUUUUAUUUUAAGAAAUUGUCACAGGCACUGCACCUUUGGGUGACCACCACUUUAAUCAGUCAGCAGCCACCAGCAUGGAGGCAACACCUUCCAUCAGCAACAAAAUAACUCACUGAAGGCCAGAUGAUGCUUAGCAUUUUUUAGCAAUAAAGUGGGUUUGUUUUGUUUGUUUGUUUUGGCUGUGUCCAGGGCGUGUAGAAGUUCCCGGUCUAGGGAUUAAACCCACACCACAGCAGCAACAGAAGCUGCUGCAGUGACAACGCCAGAUCCUUAACCAUCUGUGCGACAAGAGAACUCCAGCAAUAAAGGUUUUUUUUUUUUUUCUUUUCCUUUUUUCAGUGGCUGGGCCUAGGCAUAUAGAGGUUCCCAGCCUAUGGGGCGAAUCAGAGCUAUAGCUGCCAGCCUGUACCUCAGCCACAGCAAUGCAGGAUCCAAGCUGCAUCUGUGACCUACACCACAGCUUGCCACAAUGCUGGAUCCUUAACCCACUGAGACAGGCCAGGGAUCAAACCCAAAUCUUCACAGAGACUACGUUGGUUUCUUAACCGAGCCACUCAUUUAUUUGUUUGUUUGUUUGUUUAUCUUGUUGUCUUUUUAGGGCCACACCCAAGGCACAUGGAGGCUCCCAGACUAGGAGUCUAAUUGGAGCUGUAGCCACUGGCCUAUGCCGCAGCCACAGCAACGUCAGAUCCCAGCCACGUCUGCAACCUACACCACAGUUUAUGGCAACGCUAGAUCCUUAACCCACUGGGCGAGGCCAGGGAUUGAACCCACAACCUCAUGGUUCCUAGUUGGAUUUGUUAACCACUGAGCCAUGAUGGGAACUCCUCACCGUUUCUUCUUAAGGAUUCUCUAGCCUCAUGUUAUUGAACUGUUUGUUCUUCCCCAGACAGCUUAUAUUCUCUUGCUUUCUUUUAGCAAGCGUUGGCUCCAACAUCACCACUCUGUCUUACCCUCAGCAGGGGUGCAUUCUUAGCUGCCAGCAUCUCGAGCUCCACCCAGAAACCUCUGCCACCCUCCACUCCUGGUAGGGGGCUGGGCACAAGCAUGGGUCUCAGGAGUAUAUAAGGAUCUGCACUUACCCAGAGAGCAUCCUUAUGCCCAGGGGAAGGUGACAUUAAGCAGCAAAUAAACACUACCACAGGAUGAGAGGCCACAGAAGGAAGGAAGGAAAAAGCCUUUCUCAUUCUUUUUUGAACAAGGGGCCCCACACUUUGAUUUUGUUCCAGGCAUCCCAAAUUAUGUAGCUGUGGAGUUCCGGUCGUGGUUCAGAGGAAACAAAUCUAACUAGGAACCAUGAGGUUUCGGGUUCAAUCCCUGGCCUUGCUCAGUGGGUUAAAGAUCCAGCGUUGCCAUGAGCUGUGGUGUAGGUGGAAGAUGUGGCUCAGAUCUGGCGUUGCUGUGGCUGUGGUGGAGCUGCAGCUCCAAUUCCACCCCUAGUCUGGGAAUCUCCAUAUGCCGUGAGUAUGGCCCUAAAAAGCAACAACAAAACAAACAAACAAACAAACAAAAAGCCAAAUUAUGUAGUCAGAUCUCUAUAUAUUCACUUAGGUUUCAUCCCAGGAGAAUAAAGCUCCAUGAGAACAGACACUUUUUUUGUUGACUGCUAUUCCCUAGUGGCUAGAACAGGACCCGACUGUACUAGACUCAUAAAUAUUUGCUAAUGAAUAUAUAGCAAGGCAGCUCAUGGUAUUGAAAUUAGCUGGUAUGGUUUACCAGCCAGACUGUAAGCCCUUAGAGAUCCUAACAGCCCUUACACCUAGCCUAAAAUCUGAUGUACUGCAGGUGCUCAGACGUUUGUUCAAAAAAGAAACAGCAAGGCCAGGCUGUUGGAAUGGAUGGAAUGUUGCCUGCGCUGCCCUCCUCUUAACCCAGGCUACGACAAAUGGCAGCUUUAAUUGAGCCCUCUGUCCCUCUAGAAAGGAGUGCCUCUGGCUUUACCUGAACUGAGUUCCUAAAAGGGAAUCAGAGAUAUGGUAAAACCUGGGGCAAGUGGCUUAUGUCAGGAAUUCCCCAAUCUAUCUCUGGAAACCUCUGAAGACCCCACAGUGGCAACGGUGCCCACUUAUUUAAAAAAAAAAAAAAAAGUGAAGAAUAGAAUUAAGUGUCAAUAAUACUAAGCUCACAAUUACCAGUUAGCAGUGUCACGUUUGUUUUCGUUUUGGUUUUGCUUGUAUAAAAACAAAGUUUAUUGCCUUCUACUUUUAUAGUUUUCCUUUCCAAUUUUCAUUUUUGAAAAAUCAAAGUAUAGUUGGAGUACCCAUCAUGGCGCAGCGGAAACGAAUCUGACAAGGAUCCAUGAGGAUGUAGGUUCAAUCCCUGCUCACUCAGUGGGUUAAGGAUCCAGCGUUGUUGUGAGCUGUGGUGUAGGUCACAGACGUGGCUCAGAUCCCCCGUUGCUCUGGGCUGGGGUGUAGGCUUGCAGCUACGGCUCCAAUUUGACCCCUAGCCUGGGAACCUCUAUAUGCCAUGGGUGCGGCCCUAAAAAGACAAAAAAAAAAAAAA
rnacentral:lncRNA from 1 species